rnacentral:rRNA from 1 species
GACGAACGCUGGCGGCGUGCUUAACACAUGCAAGUCGAACGGAAAGGCCCUGCUUUUGUGGGGUGCUCGAGUGGCGAACGGGUGAGUAACACGUGAGUAAACUGCCCUUGACUUUGGGAUAACUUCAGGAAACUGCGGCUAAUACCGGAUAGGAGCUCCUGCUGCAUGGUGGGGGUUGGAAAGUUUCGGCGGUUGGGGAUGGACUCGCGGCUUAUCAGCUUGUUGGUGGGGUAGUGGCUUACCAAGGCUUUGAAGGGUAGCCGGCCUGAGAGGGUGACCGGCCACAUUGGGACUGAGAGACGGCCCAGACUCCUACGGGCGGCAGCAGUGGGGAAUAUUGCACAAUGGGCGGAAGCCUGAUGCAGCAACGCCGCGUGCGGGAUGACGGCCUUCGGGUUGUAAACCGCUUUCGCCUGUGACGAAGCGUGAGUGACGGUAAUGGGUAAAGAAGCACCGGCUAACUACGUG